GAUGAACGCUGGCGGCGUGCCUAAUACAUGCAAGUCGAGCGAACAGACGAGGAGCUUGCUCCUCUGACGUUAGCGGCGGACGGGUGAGUACCACGUGGAUAACCUACCUAUAAGACUGGGAUAACUUCGGGAAACCGGAGCUAAUACCGGAUAAUAUAUUGAACCGCAUGGUUCAAUAGUGAAAGACGGUUUUGCUGUCACUUAUAGAUGGAUCCGCGCCGCAUUAGCUAGUUGGGAAGGUAACGGCUUACCAAGGCAACGAUGCGUAGCCGACCUGAGAGGGAGAACGGCCACACUGGAACUGAGACACGGUCCAGACUCCUACGGGAGGAAGCAGUAGGGAAUCUUCCGCAAUGGGGGAAAGCCUGACGGAGCAACGCCGCGUGAGUGAUGAAGGUCUUCGGAUCGUAAAACUCUGUUAGUAGGGAAGAACAAAUGUGUAAGUAACUAUGCACGUCUUGACGGUACCUAAUCAGAAAGCCACGGCUAACUACGUG
rnacentral:rRNA from 1 species